ACCACCAAAGCCUGAACAAAGGCAGGUUGAAAAUAUAUUUAACAUAACUAAAAUUAACCAUAAAUUAUGUUAACAAUUAAUCAUAUUAUACAUUACCUGAUUAAACAUUACAUGACACACACAUCUUAACAGACGGAGCAUCUGGAGCCGAUUUUCUAGGUAUUCAGUAUUCACCUUUUUUAAAUCAUUGUGUGUUUCAUUAUUAAAUAACAAAGUCCUCCAAUUUGUUAAUUUUAUUAUAUUUUUGUUGUAGACACCAAUCACCCAGAACCAAUACAAAUCUGAGAGCAGAAUACAUGUCAUUAUUUCUUUCUUAAUAAAAUAAAAUAAUAUCAGUUAUAUAUUACACUAUACAGUUUUUAAAGAUUAAUGGUUGUCAUUGUAUAUUAAACAGAAAUGACAAAGUAUUUUCCCAAAGUGGCAUCACUGAUGAACCUUCUCUCUUCACAGGGCAAACAACACAUGUACAGUGGCAGGAAACAAGCCUUUCUCCAAACCUCAUAUGCCGUCACCAAAGAGUGAGCCAAAAUCCUACCAUGGUUAUGAUUAUGAUGCUGAUUUCACCAACCUAUAUGGAAAUGUCUUAUGAAAACGUUACAUCCGGGCUGUGCAUGUUCUCUGACAGGUGGAGGACAUGUCCAGAUUGCAGAAUUUCCUCAUCCUGUUAACCCUGUUCAAAAAAUCGUUUAAGCACAAAACCAAAAAAAAAAGGUUUCUGAAAUUAACCAACCAAUGUAUUUUUAAUGACUUUAACAUACUUUUAUGGCUCAACCACUAAACAGCUUGAUUGCAAAAAAAAUAAAUAAAAAUAAAAAAUACAAUACAUAAAAAUCAAUCAAUCAAUCAAUCAAUCUUGAGCACUUAAUCAGUCAAACUCAAAAUCAAAUAAUGUUUUGGUAAAAUGGCCAGAAAGUAUGAAACAACCUUUGUUACUAAAUUUACUUUCCAAAUUACAUUAUUUUCAAGUUUUACAUACAUUUCUUUGUCAAAUGAAAUAAAUUAAUUUAAUUACUUAAGAAUGCAGAAUGCUAAGUGCAGCAAUAAAGUCCCAAAAUUGCCUAAAAACUAGGUAUGUAACUAUCUAUAUUAUUUAUUUUAUUUUAUUUUAUUUUUGCCCAGAGUCAUUUAAUGUUGAAUAUUUGCUGAUAUAGUCCUGAUCUGAUAUUUGUAUUUUCGUAGGGUUGUCUGAUAACAGCAUUGUAAUUUUAGGUGAUUGAGUGGUAAUGUAUAUCUUUUUGAUAAAAUAUUGUAUUAAUUUUUACAUUUGACAUUUGAAAACUCAUGUCUGAAGAAUCAGUGGAAUAUUCUUGUGUUUAACUGUUUUAUGAACACAGUAUUGAUUUUUUUUGUAAAUACUUUGUCCCUCAUUUGGAAACAAGAAUCUUCAGUGUGUUCAUAAGCUACUAACACAAUGUUUAUUUAUAAUUAAUUUUUAAAUGUUUCGCUACAGCUUGUGGUUGUAUAAAUGAAUACUUAUCUGUGCAGUUGUAGGUGGUGGUUGUCACACAUAUUCAUCUGUUGAAAGAAAGCUAUGAUUAAAUUUCAAACUGCAUUAUUUACAUUUUUCUGUUCCUCAUUUUGAUUUAGAAGGUCUGUUUGGAGUAGAUUAAGGUACCCACACACUGCCUUGUCCAUUUGUUAAGGGCAUUGUCCUGCUUGUGUCAUAGGCAAGACCAGGCUUUCUUUGAGCCUGGUAUCUGCUUCUAGUCUGAAACACAAAUAAAAAAAAUAUUAAACACUAGGUCACUAAUAUAUUAGUUAAAAAAAAAAAACUAAAUACUAAAACUUAUUACUUCGUAGGUACUAACUAAAGUUUAAGGGUUAAACGGGAAAACUAGUACGAACUACUACUACUACGGACGGGAACUAAGUCGAACGUAAGGUAAGCUAUGAUUAAAUUUCAAACUGCAUUAUUUACAUUUUUCUGUUCCUCAUUUUGAUUUAGAAGGUCUGUUUGGAGUAGAUUAAGGUACCCACACACUGCCUUGUCCAUUUGUUAAGGCGAUUGUCCUGCUUGUGUCAUAGGCAAGACCAGGCUUCUUUGUAGCCUGGUAUCUGCUUCUAGUCUGAAACACAAUAAAAAAAAAUAAAUUAAACAACUAGGUCACUAAUAUAUUGUUAAAAAUAAAAAAAAAAAAACUUAUAUUUCUGGAUCAAAUUAGUUAGGGAAACAUGACAUCAUCAGGGCAAUGCAAGUGCUCUGACAGAUGGAUGAUGGUUUGAGUCCAAAUAACAUAAUUUCUCCAUUCUGUCCACUUUAUCAACAUUACAGUUUUAUAAAAGAAAGAUAAUAAAAACAAAUAAUUUAUAUGCUAUUAUGAUAUUAUGAAGCAACUAAGGUCCACUAAUAAUAUUAGUUAAAAAAAAAAAAAAAAAAACUUAAAUAUUUCUGGAUCAAAUUAGUUAGGGAAACAUGACAUCAUCAGGGCAAUGCAAGUGCUCUGACAGAUGGAUGAUGGUUUGAGUCCAAAUAACAUAAUUUCUCCAUUCUGUCCACUUUAUCAACAUUACAGUUUUAUAAAAGAAAGAUAAUAAAAACAAAUAAUUUAUAUGCUAUUAUGAUAUUAUGAAGUGUUUCCUUUUAGAAUUGUAAAUGCAUAAGCAGUCUUUUUUGAGUCAGUAGUUUGAGUCGACUAUAACAUGCUUUUAUGCUUCACACAUUAUUCUGUAAAAUCACUUUUUUGUUUUGCUUUGUUUUUGUGAAAUGCAUUGCAUAAAUUAUGCUUGUUCUACCAUCAUUUUAAAAUAAAGUAACAAACAUGAAGCUUGUGGCUUAACUAUUCACAGUAAUUUUUGUGUCUCAAAGACAUUUGUCUCUCAAAGAUGAUUUGAAUAUAAAAGAUCAAACUGUUGUUCAGAAACUGUACUUCAUGAUCUGUGAGAGAUGUGACUAUCCUUUUGAAAUAAAAUUUAAAUCAUAGGAGCUCACAGCAAGUACACCAGUCUGCACCUGGGGCGUGGCUCAGUGUGUCACUCCACCCCAUACAUACUCUGGUUGGCUCAACUAUACAAUUAAGUACAAUUGUACUUAAUUCAUAAUAGUGUCAGACUGAGCUCUAAUCCAUUUAAAGUCUAUCUUAUUUUUGUCGCAUUAGAAACCUUUCUUACUGGAAUAAUAUUUUAUUGGUCUUUCUCUACUUCAACCGCAGUACGGGGUUUGUGUAGCCUACUCUGUCCACCAGGAAUAAACCUUUCAUAAUUAAUUUAUCUUCCCAUUGCUAAUGUCGGCUGAUUUUGUAAACUUGUGUGUUCUACAUUCUUACACAAUCCAUUGUUUGAGCAGGGAACUAAGAAUGGUAAAAAAAAAAAAAAAUAUUCUGUUAAAUUUAAGCAAAGGACAUGAGUAAUAAUUUAUUUUGAAGCCACAUUCACUUCUCUGUAUGGUAGUUUCUGGUGGUUACAGAGAACAGCUGGAAAAAAACAAAGAUAGGCAGAAAGUCCCUGCAAUUUUAUUGGUACACUAGUGUUUCUCCCUAAACGAACAUUUCCAUUCUUAAGACAGCAAUUCGGAGAAUGACAGGAUAUUUGUUACUUAAUUUAAUUUUUCAAAGUACAGUCAGUUUUCUUUGACAUUUACAUUUGGUAACACUUUAUUUUAAGGUGUCUUUAUUACACGUUACAUGUACUUACUAUUAUGGCUGGGCGACACCUAACACCUUUGCGAGGUUUACAACCUUCGUGUAGAGCCAGUUUCUUCCCGUGUGUUGGGUAACACAUAAUUGGCAGGAAGGACUGGCUCGGUGUCACGCUUGCUGCGCCAUUCCCCCAACACAGGGAUGCGAGUGCCUUUCUUCUCCCAGUAGAGUUCCCCGGUUGGCGUACCCUGGUCGAUCAUCCUCCAGCACCCUCGGUGGUCAGACUUGGCGGAGCAGUCUGGCGCCAGGCCCAGUUCUGGUGUUAGCAUGCUCGGAGUCCCGGUCAGCCCCUGUACUAGGCUAGGUGUCCAUAUGGCUUGAUUCCCUACGGGUAAUCCCAUAUGUGUAUUCUUCCAUGGUAAGGUUUCCCUCUUGUCUUCCCUUGACAGACCUGCUCUGUCAGUCUCUUCUGGCAGCUGUUCCAUCCCUACUCUAAGGUAGGACCUGCUUCAGAGACCCAUUCUAUAUGUAGUUCUGCCCCCUGGGUCAGUCCAUAUCAAUAUCGCCACAUGUCACCUCCCUACGGGUAGGAUGUGGUCUCCGUGGCGACCUCUUCCUAAGGCUCACUUCCCCAUCGUUCUGCCAGGCUGAAAGAACAAACAGGAAAGAUUUGAAGCAAUCUUUCACUGAAGGUUGAAAUCCCUUCCAAAAACUUUUUGUGGACGGAACAGCAG
rnacentral:lncRNA from 1 species